GUUGAACGCUGGCGGCAUGCUUUACACAUGCAAGUCGAACGGCAGCGCGGGGCAACCUUGCGGCGUGUGGCGUACGGGUGAGUAAUAUAUCUGAACGUACCCAGAAGUGGGGGAUAACGUAGCGAAAGUUACGCUAAUACCGCAUACGAUCUACGGAUGAAAGUUGGGGACCGCAAGGCCUUAUGCUUUUGGAGCGGCCGAUAUUGGAUUAUCUAGUUGGUGAGGUAAAGGCUCACCAAGGCGACGAUCAGUAGCUGGUCUGAGAGGACGACCAGCCACACUGGAACUGAGACACGGUCCAGACUCCUACGGGAGGCAGCAGUGGGGAAUUUUGGACAAUGGGCGCAAGCCUGAUCCAGCAAUGCCGCGUGAGUGAAGAAGGCCUUCGGGUUGUAAAGCUCUUUUGUCAGGGAAGAAACGGUAGAGGCUAAUAUCCUUUGCUAAUGACGGUACCUGAAGAAUAAGCACCGGCUAACUACGUG
rnacentral:rRNA from 1 species